UAUUAUUAAUGAGGUCAUUAUUGAUCUCACUAACACUCGUGUUAUGGAUGAAACCCCAUAGGUGUCCAAAGUAGCUCUAGCUGAUGAGGUGAUUCAACAAGAAAAAGAACAUGCGUCCAAGUAGUCCACAACCUCAAAUAGAGCUACGCCAAGGGAGAAGGAAGUACUUGACAUUGUCAUUGUCUAUUCCUUUAGUUCAGGUCCUACUCCUUUUAAUCAUGCUUCCCCCACUGCUAUGAGUC
rnacentral:lncRNA from 1 species